rnacentral:misc_RNA from 1 species
GAUGAAGAACGUAGCGAAAUGCGAUAAGUAAUGUGAAUUGCAGAAUUCAGUGAAUCAUCGAAUCUUUGAACGCACCUUGCGCUCUUUGGCCAUUCCAAAGAGCAUGCCUGUUUGAGUGUCAUUUGAAUCCUCAAGGGCCCCCCUCUGCCCCUUUGCGGCUCUGGGGGCUUCUUGGACUUGGGAGCGCUGCGGGGCCUGACAUUGGCUCCGCUCUCCUCAAACGCAUCAGUGGGGCCUCUUCCCUUUCGGGGUCUUUGCGGCGUUGAUAGUCGUCUACGCCUCGCCCGUCGGGUUUCACCCGCUCCCCAACCCCCCUUUCUCCUUUGAACACUUUGACCUCAAAUCAGGUAGGACUACCCGCUGAACUUAAGCAUAUCAAUAAGCGGAGGA